CUACGGGAGGCAGCAGCAAGGAAUUUUCGGCAAUGGGCGCAAGCCUGACCGAGCGACGCCGCGUGGAGGACGAAGGCCUUCGGGUUGUAAACUCCUGUCGAGGGGGAAGAAGCCGCAAGGUUGACUGAUCCCUGGAGGAAGCACGGGCUAAGUUCGUGCCAGCAGCCGCGGUAAGACGAACCGUGCGAACGUUAUUCGGAAUCACUGGGCUUAAAGCGCGUGUAGGCGGAACGGCACGUCGGUCGCUGAAAGCCCCCGGCUCAACCGGGGAAUGGGCGCCGAUACGACCGUUCUGGAGGAACGUAGGGGGACCUGGAACUUCCGGUGGAGCGGUGAAAUGCGUUGAGAUCGGAAGGAACGCCCGUGGCGAAAGCGAGGUCCUGGACGUUUUCUGACGCUGAGACGCGAAAGCCAGGGGAGCGAACGGGAUUAGAUACCCUUGUAGUCC
rnacentral:rRNA from 1 species